rnacentral:rRNA from 1 species
UACGGAGGGUGCGAGCGUUGUCCGGAAUCACUGGGCGUAAAGGGCGCGUAGGCGGCCUGAUAAGUAGGGGGUGAAAUCCUGCGGCUUAACCGCAGGGCUGCCUUCUAAACUGUCAGGCUAGAGCACGGUAGAGGCAGAUGGAAUUCCCGGUGUAGCGGUGGAAUGCGUAGAGAUCGGGGAAGAACAUCAGUGGCGAAGGCGGUCUGCUGGGCCGUUGCUGACGCUGAGGCGCGACAGCGUGGGGAGCAAACAGG